GAACUGAUCCGGAAGGACAGCAUGCUCUGUUUCCGGGGUUUGACCUCACUCCCAUGGGUCACAGUCCCGGGGGGCAUGAAGCUCCCCCUGAGCAAAACACAGGCCACUCUGGAUUCAUGGUGGAUUCAGCAGUGCCGCAAGGCUGUUAGAGAACUUCACUUAUUCUAAUGCUCCCGGAGACAGUCCUGACCCCUCGGUGUCCAGCAUUAGAUGUACUUCCUUCUACUGGUCUGAUUCUUCGGUGUCAGUACUGGGAACUGAAUGCAGGAUACCACACCUUUUCAACAAUCUAUGGGGAGUCCCACUUAAUGCAACAAUAUGAGAAAAAGAAAUGAAAGGUAUCGGGCAAGAAGAAAUAAAGCUGUCUUUACACGCAAAUAACAUGAUGACACAGGAAAUUUGAAAGAAGAAAACUACAACAAUAACAAAAAUCCUCCUUAACUAAUUAGCAACUACAGCAAGGUUGCAGAACAUAAGGUAAAUAUACAAAAGAUCACUGCAGCCCAGCUCCUAGUGGGCCAAGGACCCCUGGAUGAAGGCGGCCACUUGGACUUCACUGCCAGAUUCUCUGCAGACUGGGACUGGACUAGGUACUCCCCA
rnacentral:lncRNA from 1 species